CCAUCAAAUUUUGGGGAGCACACAUUGAAGAUACUUUUCUUUUUCUCCAAGCACGGGAAAAAACACUGAUCGGCAUAUAUAUUUAGAGUAGGUGAACCCUAAGGGACCGGGCUUCUGGACUCCUUUCCAACGCGGUAGCCGCCUCUAGUCAUCUACUCCACCCUAGAGCAGCCUCUGUUGCCGGCAACCCCAGAACCGCCGCCAGACCGCCGUCCACCACGAGGCUGCCGUUUCCGGCGAGCUUCACUCUCACACACGACCACAACUCCACCCACAAACGAGCUCACAGCCGCGACACCAUCCAAAACUAACGCCCUCACUCACCUCUUCUUCUUCACCAAAAGGCUGGAUCGGCUGAACCUCUUAAACACCCCAAGAUCCGCCGAACGUCUUCUUUUCUUGUUACGUGAAAACCAGAAUUCCUUUACCCACGCAUAGACUUAGCAGAACAAGGAGAUAACGAGGCAGUCCUGUCAGUUUCAGCGAGGUUCCCAAUCGAUAACGGUCUUCUAUUUGAGUUCCUGUCGGAGGUUCGAGUUUCAUUUCCAGUUGUGGUUCAAACCCGGGAUUUCCUUUUAGUCAAAAUUUCAGAAUAAUUUUGGUUCAUCUAAGGUAUGGAUCCACUCACCAAUGCUAGAGUAUCAAUGGCGGUCAAAGUCCCUAGAAGGCUAGUAAAAUGGUGGAACAUGUUCACAUUACUUGAGCAACAUGAUUUGAUGGGAAAAUUAGGGACUCUUAUUUAUUUGAUGGAUAUCACUCCCCGUCCCGACCUUGUAGAAGCAAUAUUGACAUUUUGGGACCUGCAGGGAAUGGUAUUCAAGUUUGGGGAUCUUGAGAUGACACCCACCUUAGCUGAGAUAGACGGGUUAACCCGCCUGCCAUACCUAGACAAGGAUUUGAUUUACACAAGGGCUCAUUGAAGUACCAAGUUCCUUAAGAUCAUAGGGAUGGAUUUUGAAGAUCACAUGGGGUGUCUAGAUCAAUCUUGGGUACCUUUGGACUUUUAUUCGAGAGGUUUGCUCGUCCUACUGGGUAUGAGACCUUCGUAGAUGAAUUUUCCAUAUCAUAUGAUUCUUGGAAGAAGAGGCGCCCUAUGGUCUUCACUAUUGCAUUGUUGGGUCUCCUGGUAUUUCCUUUGGAAGGUAGACAUAUUAGUACACGUCUAGGGUCAAUAGCCUUUGCACUCUUCCAUGAUAAACAUAGUAGUAAGGUCACCUUGGUUCCGACAAUUUUGGCAGAGAUCUAUCGUGCUUUGACCAGGAUUUGAGAAGGUGGGAGGUUCUUUGAGGGAAGCAACUUGUUGCUACAUCUGUGGAUGAUGGAACACUUACAUCCCGCCACCAUGUUUGAGAAAGAUGUGAUUGACUGCUGUCUGAGAGAUCGAGUGAAGUGCAUCGAGCAUAGGAUGACAUUCGAUAGGUUUGCCUUACCACCCGGAGUUCAGGAUUGGGUUGAUUAUUUAGGAUCCUUGACUGAAGAGAAGAUUUUGUGGUCAUACCUAUGGAUUGAUUUGGACGUGAUCUUAGCAGGAUCUUGCGUGCAAGACUUCUUGGUACUGAUUGGACUUUGGUGUACUAGACCAUAUACCCCUGUUAGAGUGAUGCGUCAGUUAGGGAGGCGGCAAGAAGUCCCCUACAUUCCUGAUUCUCGUGACUUCAUCAGGGAAUUUGACACUAUGCCACACAGGGAGGUCAACAUCCAGACCUAUUGGCGUCAUGAAAUGAAGAUGGGUAGGGAUACUUUAGCAGUUGACCCACAUUCACCUGGGUAUACCCAUGAGUACUUCAUAUGGCUACAGUCUACUCAGCGAGGAUUUAGCAGGCCGUUGCCCUGACAUGUUAGAGCAGUAUUUAACGAGGAGGCUACCUCACGGAUAUUGCUUAGACAGUUGAUAGAUCGAUUUACCCAGGAAGAGGAGGCCUAUGCAACAGAAAGGGUUGGGGUCCGAGCUACACUCCAUUCACUGAGAUCACAGUUGGUAGGGUUGGUAGAGAACAUGGGACAGCACCGUGAGUACCUUACUAGAGUCAGCCUUUCAGAUGCAGGCGCGCAUUCCAGGAUUCUCAUUCUCAGCUUCGAGGUGUCCUUGCAGGGUAUAAUACAGAGCUUAGAUUCGACAGGAUUGACGGGGCCAUCCGGAUCUUCAUUGGACCCAUCCCAGCCAGGACCGUCGCAUUCAGGAGCAGUUUGAGGAGUCAUUCUAUUUAGAUGUUUUGAGAUUGUCUUAUGCUGUCUUUUACUUUCGCGUCUUUUCUAGGAGUACUGAGUCCUUUAGGUAGUGUCAGAGUCUAUCAUAGUGUAGUCGAGUCUGUCAUGUCUUUCAUUAUCGUAUUUCCCUUUGUAUUUUAAUAUUGAAAAGUUUUAAACGAAAAAUCCCAAAAAGAUUUUGUUUUCAGUUUAUUUUC